AACGCGAAGAACCUUACCUGGGCUCGAAGCGCAGUGGACCGGGGUAGAAAUAUCCCUUCCCCUUAAAAGGCUGCUGCGGAGGUGCUGCAUGGCUGUCGUCAGCUCGUGUCGUGAGAUGUUGGGUUAAGUCCCGCAACGAGCGCAACCCUUAUCUUCAGUUGCUACCAUUUAGUUGAGCACUCUGACGAAACCGCCUCGGAUAACGGGGAGGAAGGUGGGGAUGACGUCAAGUCCUCAUGGCCUUUAUGUCCAGGGCUACACACGUGCUACAAUGGCCGGUACAAACCGUCGCAAACCCGUGAGGGGGAGCUAAUCGGAAAAAGCCGGCCUCAGUUCGGAUUAGAGUCUGCAACUCGACUCUAUGAAGCUGGAAUCGCUAGUAAUCGCGGAUCAGAAUGCCGCGGUGAAUACGUUCCCGGGCCUUGUACAACCGAGACGAC
rnacentral:rRNA from 1 species